GACGUAGGGCGCGAGCGUUGUCCGGAUUUAUUGGGCGUAAAGAGCUCGUAGGCGGCUUGUCGCGUCGUCCGUGAAAACCAGGGGCUCAACCCCUGGCUUGCGGUCGAUACGGGCAUCACUGGAGUUCGGCAGGGGAGACUGGAAUUCCUGGUGUAGCGGUGAAAUGCGCAGAUAUCAGGAGGAACACCGGUGGCGAAGGCGGGUCUCUGGGCCGAUACUGACGCUGAGGCACGAAAGCGUGGGGAGCAAACAGG
rnacentral:rRNA from 1 species